rnacentral:misc_RNA from 1 species
CCCGCUACUGACCACCCUUGUCUACCUUAACCACUGUUGCUUCGGCAGGCCGGGCCGCCCCCGCGAGGGGGUGGCACACCUGAGGCCCAGGCUUAACCGCCGCUCAGGGCAGCGCCUGCCGGAGGAUUAGUUGAAACUCUUUGCUGAUUAGUGACAAUUCUGAGUCUUUGAUCAAUAGUCAAAACUUUCAACAACGGAUCUCUUGGUUCCAGCAUCGAUGAAGAAACGCAGCAA